GACGAACGCUGGCGGUACGCUUAACACAUGCAAGUCGAACAGGGUUCCUUCGGGGAUCCAGUGGCGCACGGGUGAGUAAAGCACAGGAAUCUACCCCUCGGUGGGGGAUAGCUCGGCGAAAGCUGAAUUAAUCCCGCAUAAUGCCGAAAGGUGAAAGUCGCAAGACGCCAAGGGAUGAGCCUGUGUCUGAUUAGCUAGUUGGUGGGGUAAAGGCCUACCAAGGCGACGAUCAGUAGCUGGUCUGAGAAGAUGAUCAGCCACAGUGGAACUGAGACACGGUCCACACUCCUACGGGAGGCAGCAGUGGGGAAUAUUCCGCAAUGGGCGAAAGCCUGACGGAGCGAUACCGCGUGUAGGAUGAAGGCUUUAGGGUCGUAAACUACUGUCGACGGGGAAGAAAAAAAUGACGGUACCCGUAAAGGAAGCACCGGCUAACUCUGUGCCAGCCGCCGCAGUAA
rnacentral:rRNA from 1 species